rnacentral:lncRNA from 1 species
AGGCGAUUUGUAGUAAUAAGGUGGUGGGGGUGGUGACUCGUAUUUGUAGGGAGGUGGUGGAGGGGAUUCAUACUUGUAUGGAGGCGGUGGAGGUGACUCAUACUUGUACGGAGGUGGAGGUGGGGAUUCAUACUUGUAAGGUGGUGGUGGUGGUGACUCGUAUUUGUACGGAGGUGGAGGUGGGGAUUCAUACUUGUAAGGUGGUGGUGGUGGUGACUCGUAUUUGUAGGGAGGUGGUGGUGGCGACUCAUACUUGUAUGGAGGCGGUGGAGGAGAUUUGUAAUAGUAAGGUGGUGGUGGUGGUGACUCGUAUUUAUAUGGAGGUGGUGGCGGGGAUUCAUAUUUGUAGGGAGGUGGUGGAGGGGACUUGUAGUAGUAAGGUGGAGGAGGAGGCGAUUCAUACUUGUAGGGAGGUGGAGGUGGGGAUUCAUAUUUGUAUGGUGGGGGUGGCGGAGACUUGUAGUAAUAAGGUGGAGGGGGCGACUUGUAUUUGUAAACUGGGGGUGGCGGAGACUCGUAUUUGUAGACUGGUGGUGGCGGCGACUCAUACUUGUAUGGAGGCGGUGGAGGAGAUUUGUAAUAGUAAGGUGGUGGGGGUGGUGACUCGUAUUUGUAGGGAGGUGGUGGCGGGGAUUCAUACUUGUAGGGAGGUGGCGGCGGGGAUUUGUAGUAAUAAGGAGGUGGUGGUGGAGAUUCAUACUUGUACGGAGGAGGAGGUGGAGACUCGUACUUGUAUGGAGGUGGCGGCGGGGAUUUGUAGUAAUAAGGUGGUGGCGGGGGUGACUUGUAUUUGUAAACUGGCGGUGGUGGAGAUUCGUACUUGUAUGGAGGUGGCGGGGGGGAUUUGUAGUAAUAAGGUGGUGGUGGUGGAGAUUCAUACUUGUACGGAGGAGGAGGUGGAGACUCGUACUUGUAUGGAGGUGGCGGUGGGGAUUUGUAGUAAUAAGGUGGUGGCGGAGGUGACUUGUAUUUGUAAACUGGUGGUGGUGGAGAUUCAUACUUGUACGGAGGAGGUGGUGGCGACUCGUACUUGUAUGGUGGUGGUGGAGGGGACUUGUAGUAAUAAGGUGGAGGUGGCGGGGAUUCAUACUUGUAUGGAGGUGGUGGUGGUGACUCGUACUUGUAUGGUGGUGGUGGCGACUUGUAUUUGUAAACUGGGGGUGGCGGAGUCUCAUAUUUGUAGACUGGAGGUGGCGGGGAUUCAUAUUUGUAUGGAGGUGGUGGUGGGGACUUGUAAUAGUAAGGUGGUGGAGGCGGGGACUCGUAUUUGUAAG